AGCCGGUCCCCUCGGCGACGAACGUCUGUGAACCCGGUCAGGUCCGGAAGGAAGCAGCCGUAGCAGCCCGCUCGGGUGCCGGGGUAUGGCUGGCUUGC
rnacentral:SRP_RNA from 1 species